AUGCUUCUCCUAAAGACUAAGCCAUGCAUGCCUUCGAAUACGAGGAAGCAAUUCUCUCUGAAUGUGUGAACGGCUCCGCAAACCAGUUGUAAACUAUAGCAAGCAAGCUCGGGGCCUUCGGGUCUCGGGCAACAUGGAUAACCCUGGUAAUUNUGAGGUUAAUACAAGAACGUAAUACCUGGCUGACCGGGCAACUGGAAGGCUGGGAGACGUGCAAGUGUUCGUGAGGGAGUUACUGGGAAUAGAUGCACGUCUCGACCGCGCCACAAACAGAUGGGUGCUCCGACCCUCACGGGAAGGGGUGCCUGCCUGAGCGGCUCUUGCUUUGUGCUUCUGACCUAUCAACUAGACGGCAGCGUAAUGGACAUGCUAUGGUUACAACGGGUACAGAGGAUUAGGGUUCGAUCCUGGAGAGUGGGCCUGAGAGAUUGCUCAUACUUCUAAGGAAGGCAGCAGGCGCGCAACGUUCCCCU
rnacentral:rRNA from 1 species